CGCCUUUUGAUAAAACAUAAAAGGUCCAGCCUGCCCAGUGACCAAUUUAACGGCCACGGUACCCUAACCGUGCAAAGGUAGCACAAUCACUUGUUCCUUAAAUAGGGGCUAGUAUGAACGGCAUCACGAAGACUACACUGUCUCCCUCCUAUAAUCAGUGAAACUGAUCUCCCCGUGAAGAAGCGGGGAUAAACCUAUAAGACGAGAAGACCCCAUGGAGCUUAAAACUCAGUCUCACUUACUUUUUAUAACCAUCCUAAUUAAGUAUGUAUGAACCCUAGUUUUUGGUUGGGGUGACCGCGGAGUAAAACUUAACCUCCACAAUAAACGGACCUAAACUCCUAACUCUAGAGCUACACCUCAAAAAAUUAAAAUAUUAUUAUAAUUUGACCCAAAUUUUUGAUCAACGAACCAAGUUACCCUGGGGAUAACAGCGCAAUCCAUUUUAAGAGCCCCUAUCGACAAAUGGGUUUACGACCUCGAUGUUGGAUCAGGGUGUCCUAGUGGUGCAGCCGCUACUAAAGGUUCGUUUGUUCAACGAUUAAAACCCUACG
rnacentral:rRNA from 1 species